rnacentral:rRNA from 1 species
UACGUAGGGUGCAAGCAUUAUCCGGAGUGACUGGGCGUAAAGAGUUGCGUAGGGGGUUUAAUAAGUGAAUAGUGAAACCUGGUGGCUCAACCAUACAGACUAUUAUUCAAACUGUUAAACUCGAGAGUAGCAGAGGUAACUGGAAUUUCUUGUGUAGGAGUGAAAUCCGUAGAUAUAAGAAGGAACACCAAUGGCGUAGGCAGGUUACUGGGCUAUUUCUGACACUAAGGCACGAAGGCGUGGGGAGCGAACCGG